rnacentral:rRNA from 1 species
UACGUAGGGGGCAAGCGUUGUCCGGAUUUAUUGGGCGUAAAGAGCGUGUAGGCGGCCGCACAGGUCCGUUGUGAAAACUGGAGGCUCAACCUUCAGACGUCGAUGGAAACCGUGCGGCUAGAGUCCGGAAGAGGAGAGUGGAAUUCCUGGUGUAGCGGUGAAAUGCGCAGAUAUCAGGAAGAACACCCGUGGCGAAGGCGGCUCUCUGGGACGGUACUGACGCUGAGACGCGAAAGCGUGGGGAGCAAAAGGG